AUUGAACGCUGGCGGCAGGCCUAACACAUGCAAGUCGAGCGGAUGGAGGGAGCUUGCUCCUGGAUUCAGCGGCGGACGGGUGAGUAAUGCCUAGGAAUCUGCCUGGUAGUGGGGGAUAACGUCCGGAAACGGGCGCUAAUACCGCAUACGUCCUGAGGGAGAAAGUGGGGGAUCUUCGGACCUCACGCUAUCAGAUGAGCCUAGGUCGGAUUAGCUAGUUGGUGGGGUAAAGGCCCACCAAGGCGACGAUCCGUAACUGGUCUGAGAGGAUGAUCAGUCACACUGGAACUGAGACACGGUCCAGACUCCUACGGGAGGCAGCAGUGGGGAAUAUUGGACAAUGGGCGAAAGCCUGAUCCAGCCAUGCCGCGUGUGUGAAGAAGGUCUUCGGAUUGUAAAGCACUUUAAGUUGGGAGGAAGGGCAGUAAGUUAAUACCUUGCUGUUUUGACGUUACCAACAGAAUAAGCACCGGCUAACUUCGUG
rnacentral:rRNA from 1 species